CGAACCGCGUCUCUAUGGCGGCCGCGACAGCCCAUUAGACGCAGAGCGACAUGAACGCGGAUGCUGACGGCCACAGCGGCGCUGCGGUACCUGUGCAAUCUCGAGAGGGCAGUCCCGUGGCGGCUGACUUCGUCCCGUCGGCGCUGGGGACACGAGAGCAUUGGGAUGCUGUUUAUGAGAGAGAACUGAGAACAUUCCAAGAAUAUGGAGAUACAGGAGAAAUCUGGUUUGGGGAAGAGAGUAUGAACCGACUAAUAAGGUGGCUGCAAAAACACAAGAUCCCAUCAGAUGCCUCAGUGCUUGAUAUUGGAACUGGAAAUGGUGUUUUCCUGGUUGAACUUGUGAAACAUGGUUUCUCUAAUAUAACUGGGAUCGAUUAUUCUCCUUCUGCAAUUAAGCUUUCUGCAAGUAUUUUAGAGAAAGAAGGGCUAUCGAACAUUAACUUAAAGGUAGAAGACUUUUUGAGUCUUUCCACAAAGCUGUCUGGAUUUCAUGUUUGUGUUGACAAAGGGACUUUCGAUGCCAUAAGUCUUAAUCCUGACAAUGCAGUUGAGAAGAGGAAGCAAUAUGUGAAGUCUCUCUCCAGGGUGUUGGAAGUAAAAGGCUUUUUUCUAAUAACCUCAUGUAAUUGGACCAAGGCAGAGUUGCUGGAUGUGUUCAGUGAAGGAUUUGAACUUUUUGAAGAGCUGCCAACACCCAAGUUCAGCUUUGGAGGUAGAUCUGGAAAUACUGUAGCAGCUUUGGUUUUUCAAAAAAGUGAAACUUUCUUGGACAAAGUCAGUUAGCUUUCUAGAAGAAACUGUACAGCAAAGUAAACCUGAUACAGAAGAAGCAAGUGCAAAUAGUGCUUAAGUGCAUGGAAGAACACCUUUCAGAUUGACAACUUGGUCUUUUAAGUAGUAGUAAAUGGUAUGGAUGUACUACACCUGCAGGAAAACGCCUACAGAACUAGCAGGGAAGACAAACACAGAGCCAGGUGAAUCUCAUUCCUCUUAAAAUGCCAGUGGUGUGGAUGAAAACAAAGACCUUUGUUUUUGGCUACAGUAUAUUGACAAACGCUGAAGACAAUGAAGAGAUUCACAAGCUUGCAGACUGGGUGAAUAUGCUCAUGGUCCUCUAGUCCCUCCUGGUAGACCCAGAGACAACAUUUCCUCCUUCAUAUUUAAAUCCAAAGGAUUCAGGAUUUAGAUUGUAUAUGUAAGCUCUGUGAAAUCAUGAACUAUAUACCUGGUUCCUCAAUAAUGAAUGAAAAAUGCCCUUUUGGGGGGAAAAGGAAGAAUAUCAGUAAUUUUUAGCUUAUCAGAAUGGCCAAACUAAAAAUAGGUUUUCUUUGAGGCAGUUUCUUGUAUGCUAGACUCAACAGAGAAAAAUAAUUUGGCUUUGUAUUGCAAAUGCUAAAUGAAUUCUAAAGAAUAAGAAAAAGCUUGAAGUGGUUUUUACUUGAAAAUAGAACAUGUGAAUAUAGUUUGGGAGUAUAGUUGAAAUGUUUUCUAAGUUAAACAUAGGGCAAUAUGAAAACACUGUUCCUUGUUUUUAGCUGUUUUUGGUGGAGUAACAGGAAAAUUGUUGUAGAUAACUAGUUGUGUGAUAGUGACAUUAAAGUCUACUUCAGUUGCCAUUAUAAAUACAUUAGAGGGUAUGUUUUUUUGUUAAUUUUAAAAAAUAAUUAUUUACUUCUAUAUGUAUGAAUAUUUUGCCUGCAUGUAUAUAUGUACACUAUGUGGGUUGUUGGUGCUUGUGGAGGUCAGAAGAGCGCAGAGUCACUGUUAAGUGGUAGAAAUCGAACCCAGGGCCUCUGCAAUAUCAAUAAGUGCUCUAAACUGCUGAGUAAUCUCUUCAGCCCCCCAGGUUUUGUUUUUGAAGUUUAGUAUUGGGAUAAUAUGAUUGGUUUAGUAAGUUUUCAUAUGCUAGCAAGUGAAUACCUUUGUUACACUUUUUCCUUUUUAUUUACUGUGAAUAAGCUUCAAUAUCUCCUUUUCAUCCUUGUGCUUUCUUAUAACUAAUAAUAAUAAUAAUAAUAGUCACUAGGAAAUUUUGAAAAAGGUUACUACUGAAUAGUUUGAAUUUUCAAGUUUUAACUCUCACUCUGUUCUUUUUAGCUUUUAGCUUGCCUUACCCAGAGGUCUUCUGUCCAGUGAGUUGCAAGCGUGACAUUUGCUGUGUUUUCAGCACCUGUCAACUUGGAAACCAGGGUUUGUGCUCAGGACGUAGGCUUACAACCCACACUUUGUGGUGCACAAUGCCGUCCCAGCUGGCAUACUUUCGUACCUCAAUGGUGCUAGACAUUCGGUUACAAAGCGGCACAGCAUCACAUGUGCAGAAUUCAAUAGUCAUUCCUCUCCAAGCUGCUUGCAACUCUUAUUUUGUAUCAGAAGAGUGAGAUUGGUAUCAUUAAAUUCCCUGCUGUGGUUAUUUUUCAAUGAAAAUAAAUUUAGUUUAUUCUUGGAUUAAAAAAUGCAAUUUUCUUCUUUCAGAAUCAAAAUGCUUCAAAAUUGGCUAAAAUAUGUUUUAUAUAUCUAGCAUACAAAUAUUAUAGCCCUAAAGUUGUAACUUAUUUUUAUAGGUGGAUAAAAGCACAGGAAAGAACAAAAGGACUAAUGUAUUAUAUCCUUUCAUAGGUAGGGCUAUUAGUUGUAAUUCAAUUUAGGAAAAAUUGGAGAAUUUUUCUGAGUGAGACCCACAUAUGAAAAUUGCCCCAUGACGAACUCAGAGUUUUGGCCUCAGUUCUGACCAUAUUUUCCAAAGAAAAUUUUUGGAAACCAAAAUAUUUACCAUAUUUACAUAUUUUCCAAAGAAGUGUUUUCUAUCAACUUGCUUUCAGUAGCCAAUCUCUUUGGAAACAUUUCAGGUGGAUUUGGUGGUGUCCAUCUUCCCAUAAUCUAUUAUAAGCAAUUUUAAAAGGUUUUGCUUGGGGAAAAAAAAAAGGUCUUUUCAGAUGUAGAAAGAACAGUGUGAAAUGUGAGUGACUGGCUUUUAAUACAACAGUGUGACAAAGAGGCCCAGUGGCUUUUAGAAGCCGAAUAAAGGGGUUGAUACACAAGCAUCUGCAUACUGGUGUUGGGCUCGAUGUAUAACAUGUCUGACAUUUGGUUGUUCACUUUGUUAGUCUAAAUAAAUUACUAUGGUUAUGCUCUUCUAAUUUUUAGUGAUGUACUUAGACAUAGGUACAGAUAUUUGUGAAAAUUAACAGUUACUGGCACCAACUGGAACUUCAAAACUUAGUUCUUUUUUGUUUGAACAUCGCACUGAUCUGGUUCUAAAGGCAUAAAAAUAAAACACCCACUAACUGCUUUAGUAUAUAUCAAAUGCAGCCUUUACCCUUCUCUCCACAGAUGUGCUUAGGUGAACACUUCUUUAGCUUGUUGAUACAAGUUAUAGUUGGUUACACCCUUUCUUAAUAAAAUACACCCUGAUUGUC